AUAUCAAUAAGCGGAGGAAAAGAAACUAACAAGGAUUCCCCUAGUAACGGCGAGCGAAGCGGGAAGAGCUCAAAUUUGAAAGCUGGCGUCUUCGGCGUCCGCGUUGUAAUCUCGAGACGUGUUUUCCGUGCGGCUCUAUGGACAAGUCCCUUGGAACAGGGCAUCGUAGAGGGUGAAAAUCCCGUACUUGCCAUGGAAGUACCGUGCUUUGUGAUACACGCUCCAAGAGUCGAGUAGUUUGGGAUUGCUGCUCAAAGUGGGUGGUAGACUCCAUCUAAAGCUAAAUAUCGGGGAGAGACCGAUAGCGAACAAGUACCGUGAGGAGCGAACAUGUACCGUGAGGAGCGAACAAGUACCGUGAGG
rnacentral:rRNA from 1 species